ACAGAGGUCCCAAGCGUUGUUCGGAUUUACUGGGCGUAAAGGGUGCGUAGGCGGUUGGUUAAGUCUGACGUGAAAUACUGGAGCUCAACUCCGGAACGGCGUCGGAAACUAUCCAGCUAGAGGAUUGGAGGGGGGACUGGAAUUCUCGGUGUAGCAGUGAAAUGCGUAGAUAUCGAGAGGAACACCGGUGGCGAAGGCGAGUCCCUGGACAAUUCCUGACGCUGAGGCACGAAAGCUAGGGGAGCAAACAG
rnacentral:rRNA from 1 species